CGUUAUGUUGAUUCUCUUUUUCAAGUAACUUAACAGUUUGAUGAGAGAAGCCAAUCUUACGUGCUUGUGCUUGAAUCUGUCAACAUUGGAGAGUAACACAGCGUAAUAUGUUGACAAUUCAUCCAUAGCUUGUUCAGAAUAUGCAGUUCUAGGUUCAUUAACAAGACUAGGAGGUACGACCGUAGCCGUAGUAUUUGUGUUAGUUGCAACAUUUUCUUCGUCUAAUUUUCUCUUCUUAGACUGCACCGCCGUCAGACAAUCAGUCGUUGAUUUGGCUUUCAUCGUCUUGUGAUCGGAUAUAGCUAUUACAUUACCAAUGUUAUUUCUGAUAAAAGAUUUCAUGGAGUGAAUCAAGGAAAAGUUAUCCAAGGAUUUCCUGUAACUUUGAGUACAUUUGUAUUUGUGUUAGUGUUACAGAUGGUACAGUACUGGGACGCGACGUGUUUCACUUGCGGAUUUGUGCUUGUCCGACACGAGAUUUAAAGACAGACGAACAAGCUAACUCUAAGAAGAGAAGAUUAAAACGCAAAAGAUAUUCAACUGAGACUCAGAUCGCAAAAAUACCAAAACUAGUUGACCCAGAGCCUCAUGUGUCCAACUUAAAUGAAGUUUACAACAUUAAGGUAGUUGGACGUCAGUUGUACUUGUUCAUGAUGAAGAUCAUGCAGUUUUACUCCAGCACCCACCUGAACAUUCCUGACGCUCCAUGUCAACAAAACGAAAACACGAUGGUACACCAAGAGCAGGAUGUGCUCAUGAGAAACAUGUAUUCUAAUAAUCUGAAGAAGCUCAAAGAAAAGCUGAAGAACUUGA